rnacentral:rRNA from 1 species
UGAACGCUAGCUACAGGCUUAACACAUGCAAGUCGAGGGGCAUCAUGGUGGUAGCUUGCUACCGCUGAUGGCGACCGGCGCACGGGUGAGUAACACGUAUCCAACCUGCCUUGAGCUCAGGGAUAGCCCUCUGAAGGGAGGAUUAAUACCUGAUGUGGUUGUUGGCUGACAUCAGCUUUCAAUUAAAGAUUUAUCGGCUCAUGAUGGGGAUGCGUCUGAUUAGCUUGUGGCGGGUAACGGCCCACCAAGGCGACGAUCAGUAGGGGUUCUGAGAGGAAGGUCCCCCACAUAGGAACUGAGACACGGUCCUAACUCCUACGGGAGGCAGCAGUGAGGAAUAUUGGUCAAUGGUCGAGAGACUGAACCAGCCAAGUAGCGUGAAGGAAUGACUGCCCUACGGGUUGUAAACUUCUUUUAUGCGGGAAUAAAGUGUGGCACGUGUGCCAUUUUGUAUGUACCGCAUGAAUAAGCAUCGGCUAAUUCCGUGCCAGCCGCCGC